UACGUAGGGUGCGAGCGUUGUCCGGAAUUACUGGGCGUAAAGAGCUCGUAGGUGGUUUGUCGCGUUGUCCGUGAAAACUCACAACUCAAUUGUGGGCGUGCGGGCGAUACGGGCAGACUGGAGUACUGCAGGGGAGACUGGAAUUCCUGGUGUAGCGGUGGAAUGCGCAGAUAUCAGGAGGAACACCUAUGGCGAAGGCAGCUCUCUGGGACGGUACUGACGCUGAGACGCGAAAGCGUGGGGAGCGAACAGG
rnacentral:rRNA from 1 species